CGAAAUAUGAAUUUCUAAACGAAAAUACUGAAUCUUGAAAAUUAUAUUAACAAUUCGCCGGCCUGUCAAACUUUUUAGUUAUACUAUUGUAGUAUGCAAGUCGAUUUCAAAUAUAUGCAGGAGAAUGCGUCGCCGAUUUUUGAAAGCGUAAUCCUGGGGAAUAUGCAAGGAACUGGUUUCUGGAUUGAAUAGUUACUGGAUAGUUCCACUCCAAGAUCACGAUUGUUUGAUAGAAAUGAAUGUCCUAGCAAUAAAUAUUUGUGUUCAAUGAUAUUUAUUUCGUUAUCGCUGGACUGAAUAAGCGGUGGUGGAAGUAAACAUUAUUAUCAACACACAAAAUUAAAAUAUACUUUUUAUUAUUUAUAAAAUACUGUACAACUACUGAUUUUCAAUAUCAAAAAUAGAUAAAUAAAAACACUCUAGAUAUCAGACAUGAUGUCAAACGGCCAUAUUUCCUUCAUCAUAGAGCAACCGGAGCUAAAUUUUGCCGUAAUAUAGUCGGUCAAAUAUAAUUUCAGUCUAAGAUGGACAUGCACCACUUUCAAAAUAAACAGAUUUGCAAUACUGUUAAGAGCUAAAACUUCCAUCUUCAAAAUACUAGAAUCUAAAUAUUUUUUUACUAUAAAUUUUUUACUCAUAAAAAGUUUUAUCUAUAAUUGCCAUUAUCUCCAUUUUUUUCAAAAAU